GCUCAUACAUGCAAGUCGAGCGGUCUUCUCGGUACAGUCGGUCAACGGGUUACUAACGCGUUGGACUUGCCCUUUAGUACGGAAUAGCCAUUGGAAACGAUGAUUAAUACCGUAUACGCCCCAAGGGGGACAAGAUUUCUCUGUUAGAGGAUCUGACCGCGUUAGAUUAGGUACUUGGUAGGGUAAUGGCCUUCCAAGCCGACGAUCUAUAGCUGAUUUGAGAGGACUGACUCAGCCAUCCCUGUGGACUGAGACACGGACCAGACUACUACCCGAAGGCGGUAGUACGGGAAUCUUGCCACAACUGGGCGAAAGCCUGAUCCAGCCGUGCCGCGUGAGUGAUGAGCGCCCUAGGGUCGUCCAGCUCUUGCGACAGGAAAGAUAAUGACGGUUCCUGCUCAAGAAACCUCGGCUAACUCCGUGCCCCCAGUCGUGGAUAAUACAGAGGGGGUUAGCGUUGUGCGAGCAUUACUGGCGCGUACAACGCACGUAGGCGGAUUAGUAAGAUCCGGGCGUGAAAUCCCGGAUGCUCGGGCUCAGGCGCUGCCUUUGAUACGUGUGAGUCUUGAGUACGAAAAAGCUGAGUGGCAUUCCGAGUAGAGAGGUGAAAACCGGCGAUAUUCAGAGGAAGACCACGUGGCCAAAGGCGGCUCACCGGCUCGAUAUUGACGCUACUG
rnacentral:rRNA from 1 species